GUUACCGAACACAAAACUCAAGCUAGUCUCUAAACGCAUUAAAUGCGAGCCAACGCUCAGGUCGAGGUCGCGAUAAUUGGUAAUGCGUUACAUCGUUCACCGAGCGUUUCAGGGCCAUUACGUAAUGUGGAAAAGAGCUUAAGCAAGGGAACAAGCGUGUGCAGUUGACUUUGGCUAAUUGGAGAAAUGCAGCUUCAGUCUCGCUGUGGUUAUUUAUCAAAAUAUUCGCGAUUUUGGACUCGGGUAUAGCCGAAGAGCAGGUUCAAGUGAAAGCAAUUUCGGCAGGCCAUUUCAGCCCUCUCGCAAGGGGUGACAGAAGGGAGGGCGCAUGUGCCAUAUUGAUCAGGGUCUCUACAUCCGUGAGCCCGCAUCUGGGAAUGGUGUUGCUCUACGCUGUUGCUGGAUCCCUAACACGUUUCUAUGUGUAAAUCGUCAGGUGUGUUCAUUCGUACGUACACGCGGAAGCUUGAAAUAGGUUGCGUAUUACGUUCCGUACGCAGACGCGGAAGGAGAGCAUUAAUGAGGGGGGAAAAAUCACGGGAAUCGUCACCGAGGAGUAACGCGAAGAAAUUAUUGGAUAAAAAAAUUCUUCGAUAUUUACGCG